AGUUCAGUCAUUGUGAUGGAGCCGUGGACGCUAGACCAACGCUUGUACGCGUAUGACGUAUCCGUGUGCGAAAUGCGAAUACGUAACUGCUGUUCGCGAGAUUUCCGCCGUAAUAUUCAUCGCAAUAUUGCGAUGGGUAAUCAACCUUGAAUAUUGAAGAAAAAUGCACCGGGUCCCCAACGAACUGCUAGCACUCCGGAGAACAUUGAUCGAGUAAGGGAAACCUUUGUCAGUAGCCCACGCCGCUAUAAAUUUCCAUCCUUACAAGAUAGCCGUCGUGCAAUAGUGAAAAACGCAAGAUUCCCAGCGGCGAUUACAAUUUUGUCGUCGAAUGCUUACCAUUUUUGAAGAAAAUUUGAUAUCUUUGCUGAACAUAAUUUGUCGUAAGUGAUAAAACUAAUACGUUACUGUAUAUAAUCAGAAUGGACGAAGAUGGUUGGUGGAAAGAUCCUUAUUUAAUAGUCUGAGAGCCGGCCUCUGAAAAAGGCACCUGUUCGGUUAAAGGACAUAUAUUAUUGAAAAAGAACAGUUAAUGUUUGGACCCAUCUCUCUUCCCAUUCAGUCAAUGGAGUUUAAAAGGCAUUGCAGUCCAUUCAAGUCAUCACGGAGUACAACUGUAUCGUC